UCGUUGGUAAAUCGCGGCGCGGGGUGUCAUUCUAGUGUGGAUAAUCGAAGCGAUUAGAUGUGUGUCCGUGUAUCUUUACGAUUAGUGCCGAUCUUUCUACUACGUAGUAUUACAGGAACGCCAUGAAACUCAAACGGACGCCAUAAUUGAUGAUGAAUCCGAUACCUUUUAUGGAUAUUUGGAUUAUGGAUGAUUUCUUCCAGUCUUCGUCUCUUGCAGUGGGAUUCGGUGAUUCCUAUUUACUGACGGUCUUCAUAAUGACUUCUCCUGAACCACAACGACAUCGAUGAUAACGUUCUUGGCGUUUAA